AUCCCUGAAUGCUGUACUGAAAGUUUGCUCUCUCUGGUGUAAAAGGGAGCUGGGAACCUUUGCCAAGGAGUGUUAACUGAGGCUGUUUGGCCAAGGCAUUACCUUAUCAACAUCACUAACCUCAGCGUAUGGGAAAGAUUCAGGGAGACUCCUACUGCAGAUUUAUUGUGCCAUGUGAUUCACCACUGCUCUGUUUUGAUUCUAGACCAUACACAGUAUCUUCUGAACUUCCAGGAAUAGCCUUGCAUGGAACUGUCUGUGUUUGUGCUGGGGAACGUCCAGGUAAUAGCUGCUACUUCAGACACUCCGUGCUUUCCUCCCGUGUCACCUUAGGACACUUGAAACACUUGGACUCAGCUGCUGUGCUUGUGCUUUAGAUAAGCUCUCCAAGUCAGCUGAUGGAGGGUAGAUGUCAGUGAGGUGGAUGGCAGUUGCGCGGGAAGGCAGCUUGGUUUGGAAACCAAAGCUCUGUUUAACUGCUCUAAGACCUGACAGCAUUCUGAUCUGCUGUUAUGUGAACUGGAUAGGUUUCUCUGCUUGUAUGUGAAUGAUGAAAAUCACUUGGCUCUCAGAAGGGAGCUUUGUCUGCAGGCAGUGACAGGGCACAGGAAGGAGGAGAAAGGGAAGCUGGGACGUACUUGAGGUGAUGGAAGUCGUGGAAUUCUGGUGAUGGUAGGAAGGGCAGGUGGUAACCGCAGUGCGAAAUACUCGUUGUUACAAGAGCAAGGGAGAACCACACUGUGAUUGAAACCAUGUGAGACCCCAUGAGCAUUGGGCCAGUCAUGACAGGCAGCGUGUUGGAGAGCUAGAAAAGAGAAGUAGAACCACCUCGUUAAUGGGACCACAAUGAGCAGGCUGUCCUUUAGGGGCUGAACUGUUUCACCUGGGUCUAUUGGUUUUGUGCAAGCAGCAUAAAGGGCAGACCUGAAAAUACCAAAACUACAUAAUCAUCAAAGAUACAAUUGUACUCUGAGCCAACUCAGGUUUGCUCGCUGUGGAAUACAGUCAGUGCCCCAGAUGCCUAAACUUGCAAUAAAAGAUUCUUGGGAAAGCAAGCUGUAAAAAGGUUCUAAGUCCACGUGAUGUGUGGACACGUGCAGCAAUGUGAUGAUUGCGUCCUCCCAGUGGCACGAAUAGCUGUCAGUGCCCAGAUCACAAGCUUACUGCACCAAAAAGUCAUUCUUAUAGCCAAAGUCUGUCAGAGGGAGACUCUCAGAGCUGCUGGAGCAGUUUGGGCCUCUUAUUAACAGGAGAUGGUAUUUAGAAGUGGAAGCUCUGUGCUCAAGGAAACACCAUUCAGACUUUUCCUUACCUACCUGAGGCCCUUGGAUUUGUGCUCUCAAAGCUGGUGAGGUGCAGUACAAACAGGCACUGCAGCACUUCUACAGCUAGGCUUCCUGGUAAUGCAGCUUAGCUUCCUCUAAGAAAGAAGAUUCCAAGGAAGCAUUUGCUCUGCUUCCCUUACCGCUGCUCCUCAUCCCAUGGAAACUGCACUCCAUGCAGGAAGUGGAAGGUGAGCAUGGGAGAAUCCACUUACUAUGUGUUCUAAUGGGUGAGCAUAAAUGGAGACCACGCCAAUGGGGGCUGUCCAUUCGUGGUGCUUCUUGUGGAUGUGCUUGUACAGGAGUGGGAGAUGAACGAGCCUAAGUAGAGAAAAAAAAGAAAUGUAGUUUUGCACCCCAUAAGAAAGGAAUGCAGAGUAAUAGAACAUCUCCCAGAGACUUGCUUCUGUCCAUCUAAAACAGAUCUUAGAGCUGGGAGUGGCAGUGUAGGAUCUGUGGUUUCCUCUCGUUAGCAUCAGCCCUCAUCCAAUGGUUUCACUGUCUGCUGGUUGAUGUUAAACUUAAGUUCUGAUACAUCCCAUAAAACAAAGUCUAUGAAAGACUGAUUUGCUCAGACUUGGGAGCACAUUUUAGUGAAAGACUCACUUCAUAUUCUCCAUAUUCUGACUUUUCCGACUGGCAGCAAUUAGAGACAGGAUUUUAAGUUUCCUGGGCCCUUAGUAAGAAAUGGCCUCUUGUGUUUUCUUUUACCAUUGCCCAAAAGGGAAAUCUCUGUAUUUCUGAGAAUGCUGUGCUUGCUUCUGCAUGGUCUUGCAGACUUUUUCCUUCCUUGCUUCAAUUUUAUCUUCUACUACUGGAGUAAAUGGUCACAAUGCUUGUAGUGUUGGGAGCUAGGCUAUGUUUUGUAGGUGCUGUUCAGGUGAAGAGGACAUCAGUCUCUGAAUUCUUAAGCUUUUUUUCUUUCAGGAUGCUCCCAUUCUCCUCUUUUCAAAUAAAAUAGCUCUUUUUCUCUUCCUAAGCUGCCAUUUCUGUAGUUUUUACCCAUUUUUGCUCCCUGUAGUUCCUAGCAGCAUUGCAGCAGCUAAGCCUCAAGCAAUAAGGAUGGGUUAAAUACAAGACUGAUGGAAGAGGGUGAACCAGGACCAUUCCUGUUUCAAGAGAUGGGUGUAAGCUUAACGGCAUGGGCUCAAACCAGAGUCCUGUUCUGUACUCAGCUCACCUGUGUGAAUAAUAGAAGAGGAUUUCCUCUAUUAAGCAUAGCCCCAGUUGGAAUUGACUCUGGAGUUCAGAAAUCUUAGUUUGAGUUUUCUCAGUUUUUUGUCAAGCUGGCAACUGAGGAGAAAGUCAUUUCCUGGACUCUUGCCCUACAGCUUCGUGGCAGUGAGCCCUACAGGCCUACUCUAAAAGCAAUACAAUCAUUUGCCAGCAUUAUCAGUGGGCGACUCCACCAGGAAUGCAAGGCUGGCAAAAGUCACCUGUCCCAGCUCCACACAGUACGUGCUGGGUUCAGGGCUGGACAUUUGCUCUCACAGGUCACACGCUUCCAGUUGUAUCCACAUUGUCCAUGUUACAGUAAUGUAUGCUGAUAGUAGAUAAGGAUUUCUGAAUCUUUAAAGCCUGAAGCACCAUCUGGGUAUUCUUCAGGGGAAAAAAAAAGUAUAAAAAGCCAUAAAAUACUUUAAGUCUUUUAACAGAACUCUGUCCUACAAAUCCUUCUUUCUCCUGAGAUGACAGACACACCAAAGAAAAGCUCUCUAGUUUUAGAGGGUUGGAAUGCUUAGUUAGAGCAAAUGACAUUUGAUUCUUGAGUGUCCUCCAGCUGAAGAUCUCAAAGAUUCACAAAAAUGAAUGACUCCUGAUCCACCUGCUUUGAGGCAGGACGGGGAGCAGCCAAAGUUCAGCACUUCAGCUAUUUUCAAAGCCUUCUGAUAGAAACUGUUUUGUUUGGAGGCUGUGCUUUUACCACACGCGAGGAAGUGAUUACAUGAAUGAAUCCCAUGCACUAUAAUUACAUGAGCUGCGGGGACAGAGAAGUUCACAUUAAAAAAAAAUCUUGUUCAUCAAGUCCAAGUGCUAACACCCUGUUUCUCUUCAUGCAAGCAACACCUCCAGAGAGGUUUCCAAACUCUGACCCGCUGAUCAAAGGCCUUGUACAAUUUGCUAAAUAGCUGGAGUGCCAAUUGGAGUUCCUACCUGCAAGGUAAAGAGACUGGGGCACACCAGCUGGGAACCAGGCUGUUCAGCAGCACCACUUUUGGCACUGGGCACAGACAGGUGGCACAGUUUCUGGCUAUGUGGAAUAUUAUGGUAUCUUGCCACGCAAGCAACAAUAAGAGGCUUUUCACCACUCAGCGCUACAGCUGCGGUUCACUGGGAGGAAAAAAUGCUGGGAAAAUGUUUCCGUAUGAUGAGUGAUGACCUCCUAAUUGUGCUGAAGUGGUCAGAGUUGAUGAGUGUGUUGCUGCUCUUAAAAGGUUAUUCAGCUCAUCCAGCUUUCCAAGGCACCUGCUCAUCACUUCCUUUAAAAGAUGGACUUUGAGUCUUUACCUGCUCCUGAUGUGCAGCCAUGGUGGAAUACCCGGAGUCUCUCUUCAUCUGAAAUAAGAAGUGAUCUGAGUGAGCUUUGCACAGCUGCAGGGUGGAAGAAUGCACCACUAACAACAGCAAAUCACUUCAUCUGCAAGUUUAGUUGCAAAACUGAGGUAUUUACUCUCUGUGCCCUGUCCAUCCUUCAUUAUUGUACAAGAAAAAAAAGCUUCUAUAGAAAGCCUUACAAAAGUUCCCUUAUUUCCUGAGGUGAGUUAAGUGUUUUACCAUAAUGCUGAUGGGGAUGUAAGGGUAGCAAACUAAAAUGGAAGAAGAGCCCAAACCAAAGCUGGUGUGCUGCAGUACAGCUCUCUCCCUCAGUCUGUCCCAGAAACACGCUGCACUCUGUAGGAACUGCCCUGCAAAGGCUGACAAGCAAACAAUGACACGAGAUGACUGCUCUACUGUAAGGCAGGAAUGCUGCUAAACUGACAUCGAUGAAAACCAAAAAACCUGACUACUACAAUGUGAGCUUGUGCCAUGAAGUAUCAAUGCAGCAGAGCACCGUGCAGCCCUCACCCACGUGGCAGAGGAACUGGAAGAUACAGCCCCAGAGCAUGGUGAGAAAAUCAUCACUGCUUUAAGUCCAGCCGUGGUUGAUAAUGACUGAAAUAGCUGUCAGUUUCAGGAUUAAAACCCGAAGGGCAGGUGGCUGCCUCACCAUAGACCUCCUUGCGUUUGGCUCCGACUGGACUGUUGAUUGUCACCUCUGAAUUUAGCAGAGAAAAAAAGGAAAGCAUCGAGCACAAGGUUGAAGGAGCUGCUGGGUCUGAACUGCUCUCCUUGGCCACAGAAAGAUCAGUUUCAGGAGGUGUGCUGUGCCUGCCAUAGGGAAUAUUGCGUAGCUGUUUUCAUAUUGCUGCACUCUUAUCAUAAACUGUAAUUAGCGAAAGCUAAGAGGACAUUCCAUAAGGUUUUCUUGGUUUCACACAGACAUUAAGAAAAAAGCACGUGAACUCUAAUAACAGGAAUUACAGAUUUACUGAGUAUGGCACAAUUCGAGCUGUUUUGCUUUUCAUACUUGGAACAAUAAUGAAGCACAGACAAACUAUGUUACCUAAGGUAACAAAGGAGUGUACAAAGAAGACUCCAAGGCACCUGUAUAAGGUACAAACAGUUAGAAAAUGGCUAAUUAGAGAGAUGAUGUUUCGUUACCUUUGUGAUGAUAGCAAGCGUCUUGGGAGUAUUCUUCUUGCAGUGUUUCAGAAAGGAGGAAUAUACUGCCAAAAAGAAACCAUCAUGUUAUCCAGGAGGCUGGACUACAGCUUUCUGAGUACAGCCUCACAAAUGUGACUCUGUCUAUUCUCUGUCUAUUCACAAAUUUUCUGUCUAUUCAAGUGUUUCCAGCUCUGUUUCCCUACGAUAGAUUAGUCUGCAGAUCAAUGGGCAGCAGAGAGAAAAACUGGACUCCUUCCUCCUACUUGUAUCCCUGCUCACUCAAGGACAGAAAAAGAUGAGGCCAGUCCACCAAACUACUGAAGUGAAACAGUUCUGGGAAGAAAAAAGAAAAAAGACAAAAAGACAAGAAGAGAUGUGAUGUGGAACCACAAGCCCUAACUCCCAACCCUGUAUUUCAACACUGGAGUUGUAAAUAUUCCAAUGGGAAGAUGAGAAGAAAGCUCCUCACUAUGAGAUUUUGUGAGCUAACAGAACUACUCUAUGAGAACUUCUGAUUUUUUUCCCCCUCUGCGUCAAAUUUGCCAACCAAAACUUCACUGGUAAAAUAUACUGGGACUACAAUACACCUGAUGGAGAGCACUAUAUCCUAGGAGUUACAAUAACAAAUAACAUGCUGGUCUGGAGAGGACAACAUAAAUAACUUGCCAUGGGACAAACUGAUCUUAUCUUCAUUGCAAAGACCUCCUGAUCUUGAUGAAGGAGUUUAUGUUAUGCAAUACACAGUGUGCUCUCAUCUUGUCACACAGGUCCUCUGCAGGAGUGCUGAUUAUCUCUAUGAAAACACCACUAAGGUUGGAACACGUCAAAUGAAUAAAUAACCCAUUCAUUCAUGGUGCUUUGAGCCAUUCCAGUCCCUGUUCCAACACUUUCCUUACUCUUUAAGGAUGUUUUACUUCACUACAUAAAAUAACAACCCAAUUUCACUUGGGAAGAGACUUGGUCCAACAUCUUGCUCAGUACAAAACCAACUACAAAGUUAGAUCAGGUUGCUGAGAGCCUUGGGCUGAGCUCUGUGCAUCCACACGGAGGGAGACUCCACAGCUUCUCUGUGAAAUCUGUUCUGGUGUUGGACUACCUCUCCUGUAUUUUUUUCCUAAUAUCUAGUCAGAAUGCCCCUUGUUGUAACUCAUGUCCCUUGUCCUUUUGUUGUAUGCCUCGCUAACUUCUUUACAACCACCCAGCACAGACAGAAAACAGUACAAUGAAAUUAUUCUACUGCGACAGGACAGUAAAUAGUGCUGGCCAGAGUGUCUGUGGUAAGAGAUUAUUGCACUCCCAGACGAUCUUGUAACAGACAGCACUGGAUCUGAGAGGUGCAGAUGUCUCAGUUACCAUCAGCGGCUCCGUACAGCAGUGCUGCAUCUUUGCACGCAAAGGGCACAGUGGAGAACGCACCUCUGCUUGGAGCUGCUGGGAAGAGAAAGCCAUUGCUUGGCUGAGCCCCACUUUCUGUGGGGCUGUAAAUAAGUUUCUAUUCCUCCUAUUUUUUUAAAUAAUCACGGGAUUAUUUUAUCCCAGGAGCCAUUCUUGAGCAAAACCUUCUGUUUUGAAACAGCACUGCCAUUUCUGCUUACCCUCCCUCUCCCCAAAAUCUCAAUAUUCUACCUUUAUUGACAGAAACACUUCAUGUUAUUUCCACUAAAACAAGAUACAUUUUGAUGGAUUGUGUUUUCCCCCAUUGCUCUCUUUAUGCCGAUUAUCUCUUCUGAUUCAGAAUGCACCAGGUAUGUUAACAGAAGCAUUCAUGUAACCAUGGCUGUUUGAGCAAACAAAAAGUCCUUCCAACUGCUUGGCACUGAUUUCUUUUGGCAUGUUAUACAGCCCUGAAGCAAUCAGUGAAGACCUCAGCUGUCUGCAGCUAUUUGCAAGCAUUAGACAGAACCGGUGCUGUUUAAAAUAGAAGUUCCUUUGAGGUUAUCUCUGACUUGUUAACACAAAGUUUGAUCCAAAGGAAACUGUAAAUCAAUGCUUUUCUGGCUUUAGGCAGUAAAGAAUUCCAACACAAACUAUUUCUUUUAUUUCCACGUACUUCAUCAUUUCUCCAACAACUAAGUAUGAGCUCUGCUUCGUCUUUUACAUUUCAGCUAUCAGAAAGCACUAGCUUGUCCAGGCCAUGUUCUAAAAUGCUUAACAUCAACAGAAAAGAAAAACAACCAAACAAACUGUUAGAAAACUCUGAUAAAAAAGACAUUUUUUUGUAUUAAAAAUUUACAUUAUUAUUAUUAUUAUUAUUAAUGCCCCCUUACAUUUCUUGUUGCCCAGACAGUCCCAUGCUGAGAAUGCACCAUUGCCCACUUCCCCUUGUACUGCACCCAGUAUUGUGCUCCUGCUGCUGGCAGGAAUAACUGGAGAUGUCUGCAGUGAUGGACUGGCUGCCAGCCCAGCUGCUUGGGACUCCUUUUUCCCUCUUGCUUGAAUCUUCUAUUUUAUUACUUCGCUGGAAUCAACCUUUACAGUGCACGGCCAGUGUGGCAAACCACCUUGUCUUCCACUUCUCUGCAAAAGUACAAAACCUAUAAAAGAAAAUGUAAGGACAACCUACCUGCUCUCCACAAAAGCUGCACAUCAGCCACACUGUACAGUCAGAUACGGGACUAGAUGCUGUGUCUGGUGGGUCUCCUAUCGUGCCAAGCUCUGCAUAGCUCACAAGGCAAUUACAGUUCCUAGAAAAGCUUACAAUUGUAUUUUAAACACACACAUGGCAGUGCCUUUUAGUUAUUUCUUCAGUUUCAAUCGGGUAUUUUCAAGCCACAAUACCUUUGAUCUCAGUCUCUUUGCUCACCUCCCGCUGGCUGUAGCCUAGGAGAGGUCCUUUGUUUCUGCUCAGAGUACAACUCCUCACCUUUCACUACUGCUGCGGAAACUUUAUGAGGGUUUAGGCACCGGCACCGGGGUGUUUCCAGGCAGGAGUUGGCUGUCCCCUCCCAGACGAGUCAUGUGAAGUCAGUACCGUGUCACUGUUAGUGCUGGCACUGCUCCCUGUGCGUGUGCACAUGCUGUCACUCAGUCCAGUGCUCAGAAUACAGCUCUGCAGGUAAGAGUUUUUCAUCAAGAGUGUAUUGAGAAUAAAAAAGACAGCUCUACCUUAAAGAUAAGUCGUUUCUACUAGGCAUGAACUCAUGUUUUCAGCACAAAGUAGCUGAUGCCAAUGCAACUGAAUGGGUCAAAGGUGUAUUUGUUCAACGCAUGUGAGUUACAGGGGUGUUUGGCAAAGCCCAGCAGUCCAGCUUUCAUCAUGUCUCACUAAAUCUAUAAACUGCAACAGCUGUCGCUACAUCAAACAGUUACAGGUAUUGAUUCCAUCUACAAGGAUGAAAUGCAAAUAGGUUAGAAUGUGGUUGGGCUCAGUUGUGUUUAAAUAUGCUUACCAACCAUGAAGUCUGUAAUUACAGUAUUGCAAGAUGUAAGGUGCUGGAGUGUUGUCUUUAUUAUGCAGAUGUGGCCCCGAUCCGUACUACUUGCCCAAUAUACAGUGUCCUAUUGUAAACUAAGCUCAGAGAAAUGAGGGUGUUACUUGACAUAACUUACCGUGUUUAUUUUUCCAUGCGAGGAAAAUUGAGGACCACUUCCUCAGCCCCUCAUGAGUGAAGCUGUUUUGUAAGCAGAAUUUCAAGCUAGCAGUAGUGAGAAUUGCAGUGAUCUGCAAGCACGAGUAAUGGUGGUGCCUUGUUGUCCCUGCCUGAUUUCUUUGUACCUACCAUUAUAUUUUUAUCAAGCAACCUUUUCUGGAAGGAACAUUCCUAACUCCCCUCCCAGCCUGGUGCCAUUUCAUCUCUGUUCCCGUUGCUUCAUUUCCAUAUUUGAGACUGCUACUGUUUCCACUGACACUUUCUCUUGACUAACGCAAAGUAUUUCCUACUGAGGAAAGAGUUUUUAAUUCUCAGCUGUUACUGCUAAUUGUUAUUUAUCAUGGACUUAAUAUGGAGCAACGUGAUUCCUCCAAGCUAUUUGGGUACGUGCAAAGGAGGAAGUGAAAAUUGGCAUUUCAAGAGAA